rnacentral:miRNA from 1 species
ACUUACAGUUUGGAACGGAGG